AAAUUGAAGAGUUUGAUCAUGGCUCAGAUUGAACGCUGGCGGCAGGCCUAACACAUGCAAGUCGAACGGUAACAGGAAGCAGCUUGCUGUUUCGCUGACGAGUGGCGGACGGGUGAGUAAUGUCUGGGAAACUGCCUGAUGGAGGGGGAUAACUACUGGAAACGGUAGCUAAUACCGCAUAACGUCGCAAGACCAAAGAGGGGGACCUUCGGGCCUCUUGCCAUCGGAUGUGCCCAGAUGGGAUUAGCUAGUAGGUGGGGUAACGGCUCACCUAGGCGACGAUCCCUAGCUGGUCUGAGAGGAUGACCAGCCACACUGGAACUGAGACACGGUCCAGACUCCUACGGGAGGCAGCAGUGGGGAAUAUUGCACAAUGGGCGCAAGCCUGAUGCAGCCAUGCCGCGUGUAUGAAGAAGGCCUUCGG
rnacentral:rRNA from 1 species